UUCCUCUUUCUCCCUUCAUACAUCAUCAAGAAGGAUUUGGUGGCAGUUACUGAAGUUGAUGAAUCUGACUGAAAUUUCUUUGCUGGGUUGUGUGUUACAGGGGUUGCUUGAGGAGAGUUUAAAGAGCACUGAACAAAUCUGGCCAACUUCAAGGUAUGUUCUUCUUGUGCAAUACCUAUUGACUCACUUAGGAUAUCUAACAACUUAUGGUUGGACCUGGAUACUUGGUAGCAGGAUCCAGAGUUUCACUGAUGCUUAACAGAGAAAGGAGUCUGGAAGAAACUGAAAACAUUUCCAUCAGUCUACUGGGAUCUGGAAUUGGUUUCCCUGCUCUGGAUAGGAGUCUUCCAGAAUGGUAAUCAAAUUAUGAAGAAUUACUUAUAACAUUAGAAGAAAACAGCAAAUUUUGACAAGGUAAUGUCAGCAUUUUAUUUUAAUGGGCAUCAUACAUAUUUCAGGAUUUAUUUAUUUCCUUGUUUAGUACUUAUUUUGAGCCCCUUGAAAAAAUGUUGUGCUUUCCCCUUGGCUACCCUGGUAUAAAAAUACAGUUUGUUCCUUUGCUGUACUAGAAGAUGAAAACAGGAUUUGGCCCAGGUAGUACUAGUGAAAUGUUUCUGACAAAAGGUAGCUAAUGACCUUAUAUUAAAAAACUAAAUUCCAAGAACUUCUGUAUAUCCAUGCAAUCAUACAUUUCUGGGCUUGUCUGCUGCAUGGUGGGGAAGAAAUUGUUGCCAGCUUCUCAAACUAAAGGAAAAAGUUGAGCAACUUGACUACUUAGUUAUACAAUCCACUUACAAAUCCUGUUUCAAAUGGACUUGGACACAAAUCCGAGCAUAGAAUCAUAGAAUCCAUAGAACCUUAAUAGUAUCCUAUUACUCAUAAAGCAAGAAGAAUUUCUAUUGCUCCUAGAGGCAAGGCUGCCAGCAAUUCUGCCGUAAUGCUCUGGAGAAUGCAAGAAUUUUUCAAUAUGCUCAUAGGAUUGCAAUUCAAAGACAAGAGGCAAUUGCUGUAUGCUCCCAAAUGGCUAUCAUUUGACUGAUACAUUUAGUUCAUUAAUUAGUUUCUGAUGGAAGACCUACUCAAAAAACUAAAUUCAAAAUGUAAGAAAGAACCGGUGCUUGUUUAAAACUAAUCAAGUUUUCAUAUUUUUCUUUUCAUACAGAGAGAGGAAUGGGACGGGAGCAUUCACUUGUUGAUUCGUCUGAUUGGUUCACUUUUUGAAACACUAAUGUGGACUUGGAACUGACCUUUCAUUUGAAAAAUGAGCAAUACCAGAAGUUAUGAAAUGCAAAGAAAAUAUACAACAAGAGGAGAAAACAGGGAGUCUUGGAACAGUAAUCUAAGGGAGUCGUUUUUCUGUCCUUGCUAACAGGAAUAGUACAAAGAUGGAAUUCACCAAGGAACAUAAAGGGAAAAAAAUCUCUUGGAAAUCUUUGCAUUAAAAUCUCAUCUACCACCAGCCCUUUUUUAUGGAAAUAAGUCAGCACUACUGGAAAAGAAAAUGCUAAACCUGUGCUCUUCGAUUCAUCUUCAUUUCUGCUGUUUACCUAAGAAAACAGCAACUCUGUCCGGUUUGGGAGAGAAAAAAAAAAUGUAUUUUUUUCCCCCAUUGAUUGUUCUUUUAAUGUUUUUUUAGUCAAUGUGGAAUUUUACCUAACUUGCAUCAUUUUUCAGGAGCUGAUUCAAAACAGAUUUCCUAAAAAGAAUAUGCAAUUACAGUGCUAAACUAAGUGCCAGAAAAUGGAAACAAUCCGUUUUGAGAACUCCAUUGUGUCUCCGGGAUUUAGAUGCAGUUGAAAAUGUCAUCAAUUUUUACAUGUAAGAAGGAAGAGACAAAAGAAACAAAGAUAAAGUGGGAAAAGUCUUUAGGGACAAUUCAGAACAAUAUGGAAGUAAUCAAAAGUCAGUCAACAGACCAAAUAAAUCUUCAUAGAAGGGAAGUACUGGCUAAAGU
ensembl:lncRNA